rnacentral:rRNA from 1 species
AGAACGAACGCUGGCGGCAUGCCUAACACAUGCAAGUCGAACGAGACCUUCGGGUCUAGUGGCGCACGGGUGCGUAACGCGUGGGAAUCUGCCCUUGGGUUCGGGAUAACAGUUGGAAACGACUGCUAAUACCGGAUGAUGACUUCGGUCCAAAGAUUUAUCGCCCAGGGAUGAGCCCGCGUAGGAUUAGCUAGUUGGUGAGGUAAAGGCUCACCAAGGCGACGAUCCUUAGCUGGUCUGAGAGGAUGAUCAGCCACACUGGGACUGAGACACGGCCCAGACUCCUACGGGAGGCAGCAGUGGGAAUAUUGGACAAUGGGCGAAAGCCUGAUCCAGCAAUGCCGCGUGAGUGAUGAAGGCCUUAGGGUUGUAAAGCUCUUUUACCCGGGAAGAUAAUGACUGUACCGGGAGAAUAAGCCCGGCUAACUCCGCGCCAGCACGCCGC